rnacentral:misc_RNA from 1 species
GAUGAAGAACGUAGCAAAAUGCGAUAAGUAAUGUGAAUUGCAGAAUUCAGUGAAUCAUCGAAUCUUUGAACGCACAUUGCGCCCGCCAGUAUUCUGGCGGGCAUGCCUGUUCGAGCGUCAUUUCAACCCUCAAGCACAGCUUGGUGUUGGGACUCGCGUUAAUUCGCGUUCCCCAAAUUGAUUGGCGGUCACGUCGAGCUUCCAUAGCGUAGUAGUAAAACCCUCGUUACUGGUAAUCGUCGCGGCCACGCCGUUAAACCCCAUCUUCUGAUUGUUGACCUCGGAUCAGGUAGGAAUACCCGCUGAACUUAAGCAUAUCAAUAAGCGGAGGA